AAAACAACUCUCAGCAACGGAUAUCUCGGCUCUCGCAUCGAUGAAGAACGUAGCGAAAUGCGAUACUUGGUGWGAAUUGUAGAAUCCCGUGAAC
rnacentral:rRNA from 1 species